GGGCCCGCACAAGCGGUGGAGCAUGUGGUUUAAUUCGAUGAUACGCGAGGAACCUUACCAGGGCUUAAAUGUAAGUUGCAUUAGUUAGAGAUAGCUAUUUCUUCGGACUACUUACAAGGUGCUGCAUGGUUGUCGUCAGCUCGUGCCGUGAGGUGUCAGGUUAAGUCCUAUAACGAGCGCAACCCCUGUUGUUAGUUGCCAUCGAGUCAUGUCGGGAACUCUAACAAGACUGCCGGUGCAAACCGUGAGGAAGGUGGGGAUGACGUCAAAUCAUCACGGCCCUUACGUCCUGGGCUACACACGUGCUACAAUGGCCGGUACAGAGAGCAGCCACUACGCGAGUAGGCGCGAAUCUUCAAAGCCGGUCUCAGUUCGGAUCGGAGUCUGCAACUCGACUCCGUG
rnacentral:rRNA from 1 species